rnacentral:rRNA from 1 species
CCUACGGGAGGCAGCAGUGGGGAAUAUUUGGCAAUGGGCGCAAGCCUGACCCAGCAAAGCCGCGUGAAGGAAGAAGGCUUUCGGGUUGUAAACUUCUUUUCUCAGGGACGAAGAAAGUGACGGUACCUGAGGAAUAAGCCACGGCUAACUACGUGCCAGCAUUCGCGGUAAUACGUAGGUGGCAAGCGUUAUCCGGAUUUAUUGGGUGUAAAGGGCGUGUAGGCGGGAGCGCAAGUCAGAUGUGAACACUUCGGGCUCAACCCUGAGCCUGCAUUUGAAACUGGGUUUCUUGAGUGCUGGGGAGGCAAUCGGAAUGCCGGGUGUAGCGGUGAAAUGCGUAGAUAUACGGAGGAACACCAGUGGCGAAGGCGGAUUGCUGGACAGUAACUGACGCUGAGGCGCGAAAGCGUGGGGAGCAAACAGGAUUAGAUACCCGAGUAGUC